rnacentral:lncRNA from 1 species
GUUAAUUGGUAUAUAUUGUAUUUAAUUGAUAAGGCUAAGAUAAUAAAGAUGGGUGUUUUCUUCGUUCUUUUCUCUAGCGGAAUUGGCCGCCAGUGAAGGUCUGCCCAAAGGACCAGCCAGCUGGGGCAACAUUGUUGGAGACCACGGUACGGCCAUCACUAGUUGUGACCUUAAAUGACAGGCUUUGCCCGUUGAGGUAGUUGUUGCUUUGCCAGUUCUGGCCCCAGUUCCUGGACAUGGGUUGCCAACCAGUCCUGGAACCCUUGAUGGCCAC